UCUAAUGUGGCAGAAUAAAUGCAAUGAGCUUAAAAUUCAUGUAUAAAUGACUACAUUUCUUUAGAA
rnacentral:tRNA from 2 species